GAUUAUUGAGAAAGUUUUGAUAUAUUAUUAAGGAAGCUUUGAUGGAUUACUAAGGAAGCUUUAAUGGAUUCUUGAAGAAGCUUGGAUAGAUUCUUAAGGAAGUUUUGAAAAACUUAUGGAGGAAGCUUUUGAACUCUAUAAAUAAACCAUUCCCCUCCACGUUUUGGAACACACAACAUACUCAUACACCACCUAUACCCAUACACCACCUAUAUACACCACAUAAUUGAGAGAAGACGAGUUAUAGAUUUUGUCAAACUUUACGUACCUUAUGCAUUAGAAUUUUGAUCUACCAUUUGUGGAGAUCCAUGGAGAAAUAUCGAUGGAUUAGAGUGUUGGCAACGGAGAAGAUUGAUUUAAGGUAUGGAGCAAAUUUGGUGAUUGGAGUUGAAGAAUUUAAAGAACUUAUUAAGUUAGAGAUUUGGGGACCACCCCUAUAUAUCUUUUUUUUGGAGAUUUAUAUAAAUUAUAGACAUUUGUAUAAUUAUUUUGGAGACAAUUUAUAUUUUUUGAGAUUAUUAAUUAA